UUAAGGGCUGCCUGGCUCUGGGGGAAAGUUCUGUGGUUGGUGAUCCCUCCCUUGUGGAGUCUUCCUCUGUGCGUAGAUCUUCAGAGACAGCUCCCUCUGUUGGCCCUGCAGAGUACCCAAGUUUGUCUCCCAGCUUGGUAAAGGAGGGACCUUUGAUGCCAGGGUCCCCUCAAGAGAGAAAAGGCAUAUAAAAAGGAAGCUGAAAUUCCUCAAGGAUAACGUUCUACAUGCUAGCAGGGAGGCAUCCCUACCAUGAGAACAUUCCGAAAAUAACUCACAGAAAUGCAUUUCUACCAGGGAAAGGCAGCCACUCUGCAGUAAUGCUGGAGCUUUGCUUGUUUUAAGCAUCAACUGUGAUGACAUGAUUAAAAAAAUCAGCAUUGUUACAACCACAAGGACCUUUUCCAUGUGAGAGCACAUAAAACAUUAUUAGUGAACUUCUGUCUCCUGACAUAUGUGCUGCACCCUCCAAAUGAGCUGGAAAGAAGGCUGAUGUGAAUCAGUAUUCAUUUUUGGAUCUUUGCUAUUGAUGGACAGUAUUUAAGUUAGGCAUCACUAUAAAUCAAGAUGUCUUGUCCCAGUGUCCUCUUCUACUCUUCGUGUGUUACAACUUACCUGAAUGAUUGGAUGCCAUAUUAAACUGUGAUAUUACCCUACAGUCUACGUCUGACUUUCAGAGGAUCUUGGAUGGUACAACUACAUCACUUUAAUCCACAGUUCCAAAUCCAGUCUCUGAGUUAUGAUUAUGAGGCUCUCAGCUCUAGGUUCAGCUCUAACUAAAAUUUUCAAGAAAUCACAGGACUAUUGUGUUGAAAAGCCUUCUCAGAAAUUAAAGGAAAACAUACAGCUGUUGAGCUGAUGCCCUGGAAAUGCACCACGUAGCCCUCCUUGCAAGAAAUGUUAGCUCAAACUCACAAGCGUACUCCAAUUACUCUUUGUUUGCUGGUGACCUCUGUCUUUUGAGCUUAACCCGCAGUUGCAAAAGCCCAAAGGAGUUGUGUAUGGAGUCUAAAUGCUAGCAUACCUCUCCAUCCUAUCUCAACUAGAACAGUGUUCACCUUUACUACGUUAUGAAGGUGAAAACUAAGGGCUUUUGGAAAAACAAAAGUAUUCAAGUAGGAUUUUGAAUGUGAACAGAAAGAGCUACUGGGAAAGAUUUCAUAGGUGCCAUGUGUAUGAAUGAGAACAAGAGCAUCAGUUAACAAGAAGAACAUGCAAAGUGAGAGAUGUCAUCAGGCACCAAAUCAGUUAAUUAAGUCCAGAAAUGAAGCUUAGAUAUUUCUUCUGUGGAUUGCCUGUAUUCCUUUAUUCAUUGUUUUGAGCAGACUACAAGAUCUUCAUUCUACUUUGGAACUCUGCGGGGACAGUUCUUAUGGAUUUUGACAGUAAGCAGCACAGCACUGUGGGGCAUUUGAGGUGAAGUCAUUCUUAUCGAAAGAGCCAGCAUAAUUUCUCUGCGCCAUUUAAAUCCAAACAAAUCCUAUUUUAAGCACUUUGGAAUGACUUGAGUAAUGCAAAGGCCUUUUCUUGGGCUUUCUGCCCGGGAGUGAAUUUCACCCUCAGUGAAUUAUUAUUAUUAUUGGACUCUACUUAUGAAAACAUAAAGCAAAUAACCCAUGCAGAUAACAUUAAAGCAGUGGGAAAUGGAAAUUCCUAGUAGACUGAAGAAUUAAGUAGGAAUUGUUAUACGAACCUUCUUUCUGUGCUACAGGAGGAGGCACUGGAUGACCUUUGGGUCUCCCUGGGUCUGACCAGCAACAGCUUCUUGAAAAAACUCUUUUUCCAUAAAUACCUGAUGUAUCAGGCAUCAAGGCACACUUUUCUCUCUUGAAAAAUACUGCAGAUUUAUUAUAUUUUCUCAGUUUUUUGCAAGUAUUUCCUGAGUCAGAAACAAUGAUAUCCUGAAAAUGAAGUGAUGGCAUUGUAGCAUUUUCCUUAUGUCCCUGAUAAAAUCUACUAUUUUAUUUCUGCUUUCAUGUAUAUAUGUGCAUCAUAAGGACCUAUUUCGUCCUCUAAAUUCUCCUUUCACUGCAUCAAAAUACUAAAAUAUCUUGUCACCUUUCCUUGGACCAUUGCAGAUCUUUUGAAAAUGUAUAUUUAUUUUUUGCUUUUGCUACUGAUGGAAUAUCUUUGAAAACACUGUGCAAAUCAGCUUUGAGGUCUUAGUGACUUCUCCUGUCCUGAAACAUGUUUUCAUAUGCUGUUGCUAUGUUUUUCAUAUGGAUCCCCAUGAAGGAGUGCACAAAACAAGAACUAACUUUAAGCAUGAGAGCAAUCCCCAGGAAGUUAACAGUAGCCUCAUGUACUGAAUGCUAAUGAUUCCCUUUAACUGUCCUUCAGAUAUGGUGUUUCUCUCGAGUCUGGGAUUGAGUCUUUCUCUCUUCUCUCUCCUUCCAUCCCCCAUUCACUUUUCAUAAUGAUAAACAGUUAUGCCAUGGAGAAAAGGAAGGCCAACGUUCACAGAUCAAAAUAUGGGCUACUACCCAUCUUGCUUAUUUGAUAGUCAUAAAUUCUCGUGUGUAUUAAUAUUAUUUUCGUGUGUGUGUGGACAACCUUCCUGAAUAGCAACUAGCCAUGCCUUUAUGGGCAUAGGUUAGAUGAUACACAGGCUUACCAAGGUGCUUCUGAACAAAAUUCAGGUUUUGAGUAAUUGUGGGCACUGCUUCAACAAAGCUGUUGUUGACGGCUCUUUGGGGUAGAAGAGAACUGCAAAAUUCCAACCUGCCUUUGAAUAUGUAAGAUUUUGGGUAAAGUUUGGAUAGGUCCUUUUUCUAGAUCUCACUGUAGACUUCCAGAUCAGAAUUUUCCUUAGGCUGAUAGCAGUUCCAGUUUAGAACUUACCCUUUUGUUCCACUAUGCUACGUAGAUGGUUGCAUUUAGUGUCCAGUAGCUUCUGUAUUGACUUCUUACACAACAUAAAGCAAAGAAACUUCACAAUAUCUCAAGUAGCACCACUGGUUAACAUAUCUAACCAAAUUCUACCAUCAGAGCAGCCUUUGCCUUAUUUUAUGCGACAUGCAUUCAUCAAAAGGUAGAUUUUAGCCUAUAAUUAACUGUACUUAUAUUUAGUCUAUUAUAUUUCAGGGUCUUAAACCACAGCAUGCACUACUGCUUGCUGCAAACAACAAUUUCCUUUUGCCUCUUACCCUCUGUGCACUUUUUGAUCUCAUUCUGUAAAAAUAAAAUAAAUGCAACACAACCUACAUCAACAGAACUAAAAAUUCGAAGGCAUUUUUAGCACUGGGCAAAAAAUUAAACAACUUCAGGAGACGCUUAUGGUUCCUAAAAAUGGAAGUAUCAACUGGUAAGUUUUUUGAAAAUUGAAUAUAAAAUCAUAGAGAAAUGCUUUAUUUGAUUCUCUGUUUAUGGGAAAUUCAUUUUAUUUGACUUUUUUAUUUGUAAUAUCAACUAUAUUGCAGAGCAGAGUUUCUAGGUGCUCCCUUAUGGUACCAUUCUUCUAAAUUAUUAAUGCCGUACUGUUGAUAUAUUGUCAGCCUUGUACAUACAUUCUAUGAAAAUGAGUUUUACAGUAGGCUGGGAUUUAUAACAAAGCUUGACAUAUGCAGCUAAUUCACCUAGACAGUCUUGUCAGUUUUAGGUUCAUAAAUAAUUGAUACUCAGGGCUUGGAGUUCAGCUACUGUUAGUGCUCCAGCUGUUAAAUUUCAGCAGCAUAAUGGAUGAAUAUUUGUUUAUAAUUUCUGUACAUGGACCUGAUGUCAGAUCCCCGGUCUCAUUUACAUAGGUAGAUUGAGAUGUUGGAAGUGUAAUGAGCAUAUGAAGAUGAUGAAUUGUUUUCCUCAGUGCUGGUGCGUUUCUGUAAAUGUUUGAUUAGUUUUGAAUGGAUUACUGUUAGAUUAUCUGGUUCAGGGGUUAAAGUGAGCAGCUCUCUGCUCCCAAAGCUUUCAUGAUCCCUUGCUGACAGAUUUUAAAAUUCAUAC